AAAUAUUUUCAUCGGAGGCCGACCUUAGGACGAUCUUUUAGGAUUGGCCUUGUUCCGUGGCGGGCCAAAGUCUGGCCUGGGCUUUUAAUCGCGUGUUAGGCCGGGCCGAAAUUCCAUGCCCGCACGCCGGCCCGCGCGGCACGGCUGUGCAUGGCCAGAUUUGGACUGUCCCCUUUUCUUCUUCCUCCUCCCAUAUCCCAUAGAGCAGAGGAAAAGAGAAAGAAAUUUAAAAUCUCUUCUUGCGUUGCUCGGAUCCUCUGCUUCCUCGCCGUCCGUGUCCCGCCGCCACUAGCGUUAUCCAUCAAGACCGCUACCGCCGCUCCACAGUAUCUGAAACUCAGCUCCAGCUCCAAGCUAGGUAAGGAAUAAAGGAUUCCCCUUUCCCACUGCCCGCAGAUCGUCUCACCUGAUUCCUCUUCUUCACCAGACCGUCUCCUAUGUAGCUGCAGGUACUAUUCUUGGGCCUCAAUGCUCGAUUCAUCACCCAGGCCAGGCUAGCAAACUUCUGGGAAUUCGUAGAAAAGAAGGUGUAAAACAAGCCUAUAUCGGAUGAUAAUCAAGUUGCUCACCUUCUGGCCUACUUUGUUCCCUUCAUCAGCCUGGUUACUCAAUUUCUUGUCUCUUUCACCAGUCAGAAUCAAAUGGAGGAAUUGUGCCAACAUCAAGGUGGGAGAUAGAUGUGAAGUUGAGCCAGGUGACAAGAGGGGCGCUGUAUAAUUUGUUGGCAAAGCUGAAUCCCUUGGACAUGGAUUUUGGGUUGGAGUGCAAUACAAUGAGCCACUCAGAAAGUAGGAUGGCAUGUUAUGUUCAUUCUCAGACUGUGACAGUGAUGAAUAGUUGACCUUUGAAGAAAUAGCUCUUUGAAGCAUUUUCUUUGAUUUCUCGGAUGCUGCAGGGUGAAAGGCGUCCACUUCUUUGAGUGCCCCCAAGGGCAUGGAGCAAUUGCCCUGCCAGAGAAAGUAAAGGCUUUGUUCCCUUAAAACAACGGAAACAGUGCUUGAUCUUGAUGGCAGUUUGGUUGCAAUGGCAAAUUGGCAACAGUAUGUAGCAGUGGAUGCCGGGAUGGUUUGCAUCAUAUGUUCUUGUGAUGCAACGGCGGGCUUAUUGCAUUGUGGUGACGUUUGAAUUGACGUAUUGGAAGAGUUAGAGAGGGGCAAUUAAUUCUAGCCUGCAGCAGAAUAAACAUGUGUUACAGUAUAUAAGCAACUUGAGCCAGAGCUAAAAGCAUGUGCCCCUAGUAAGAUGAUUGUCAACAUGCAUAAAGUACCACAGUAGUAGUUUGUUAUGCUGGUGGAAAAUAGAAGUUAUCCUUUUCCAGUGUGUCAAACUUUAGUCAGCAAAGGGAGAGAGAGCUAGCAAACUUUGAUUGACUAGCAGAACUUUACUAGUCAUUCUCCACCUAGGAAGCAAGCAAAGUUCAAGUCUUGACUUGGUCAUUCGAUACUCCUCCCCACUCUUGCGCGGGUCAACCGUCAAUCUUGAAGCAAUUCAUUUUUCCAAUUUUGACUUGGAUACUUUUAAGUGCCAACAAUGUCCAUGCCCUUAUUUUCCUAGGUCGACAAAAUGUCAUGUAGAUCUCUAAGCAGGUCCUGAUCCAUGGUCCCAUUUUUUUUUGUGCUGUGUAAAUGGCUGAAGCGUGCCAUGGAAUCUAAAUAUGUGUGUGGUCUUCAAUCAGGAACAUCAUCUCUUCCUAAUUUUUUCCUGAUUGGUACUACUUGGUAUACUUCCAAGAUUAGCACAUUGAUUUGAUAAACCAUAUGGGAUGAGAGUAGUUGCCUCGACAUGCUUCUGUUUCUGUUAUUUCUGGUGUCAAUGUCCUCUCUGGAGAGCAAAGUGUUUGAUGAUAUAUCAUUAGGCUUUUUCUGCAGAAGUUGGAUUUCAAUUUUCCUCCAUAUUUUCAACAUUUUUGGUUUCUGUGCUGCCAACCCAUGGCCGCCUCGCCACGUCUGUGAAGGACAUAUUGGUAGAGUCCCUGCUCCAUGGAUACAAAUUUGACAGGUACAUGGUAGUGUUAUGGUGUAAUGCCUGGUGCUUUAGCGGUUAUUAUGGUCUGGCAUACAUAAUGUUCAAACAUUUUAUCAUCAUCCGAGUAUGAUAAUGUUAAUGUGCCUUUCAAGUUUGAGGAUCAAAAGAUUUAGUUCUUACUGUACUGUUACUGCCAAGUUCAAGCUUGUAAGUUGUUGCCUCCGUAAGAUGAUUUAUUAUGUGUUAUCUUAUUCUGCAGCAUCAACAUGGCACCCUUUGCCGCCAUGAUACUGGUUCUACACACAUUGACAUGGCUCGAUCUUGUCUCGCUGAUUAUCAUCCAUGUGAUUCAUGCGUGCGGCAACCUUAAAGUAAGACGGGCCAUUCUGGACUAUGCAGUUUCUAAAAUCCGAUUCUUGUGCUGCAGGUUGCUGUUGUGGUACCGGUCUCAUGGUUGAUCUUCCGGAACCCUAAUGAAUGCAAUUUUGUGCGCAGUUACGCUCGUUGGUUGUACUUUCUAUUGGUACCGACAUCCCCCAGGGAGCCAAGGAAUGAAAUCUCGGCUGCUCCCGGUAGUUAGCUAACAGGGCCGGCCCUAGCAUUCCGGAGGCCCUUGUGCCAACAUCAUAUAAUGGGCCCAUACGCUAUACCACACAAAAAUAUUUCCACCCCAUGCAUACCACCCUUUUGAGUGAAUUUAUCUACAAGUUUCUUAUUUC